UGGGGAAUAUUGGACAAUGGGCGCAAGCCUGAUCCAGCCAUGCCGCGUGAGUGAUGAAGGCCCUAGGGUUGUAAAGCUCUUUCACCGGUGAAGAUAAUGACGGUAACCGGAGAAGAAGCCCCGGCUAACUUCGUGCCAGCAGCCGCGGUAAUACGAAGGGGGCUAGCGUUGUUCGGAUUUACUGGGCGUAAAGCGCACGUAGGCGGACUAUUAAGUCAGGGGUGAAAUCCCGGGGCUCAACCCCGGAACUGCCUUUGAUACUGGUAGUCUUGAGUUCGAGAGAGGUGAGUGGAAUUCCGAGUGUAGAGGUGAAAUUCGUAGAUAUUCGGAGGAACACCAGUGGCGAAGGCGGCUCACUGGCUCGAUACUGACGCUGAGGUGCGAAAGCGUAGGGAGCAAACAGG
rnacentral:rRNA from 1 species